CACUGCUGGUCAGUGCUGGUCAGCGCUGGUCACUGCUGGUCAGUGCUGGUCAGUGCUGGUCAGUGCUGGUCACUACUGGUCAGUGCUGGUCAGUGCUGGUCAGUGCUAGUCACUACUGGUCACUACUGGUCACUGCUGGUCACUGCUGGUCAGUGCUGGUCAGUGCUGGUCACUGCUGGUCAGUGCUGGUCAGUGCUGGUCAGUGCUGGUCACUGCUGGGCACUACUGGUCAGUGCUGGUCACUGCUGGUCAGUGCUGGUCAGCGCUGGUCACUACUGGUCACUACUGGUCAGUGCUGGUCAGUGCUGGUCAGUGCUGGUCACUCUGGGCAGUUACUGGUCACUCUGGGUCAGUCAUUGGUCACUCUGGGGCAGUUAUUGGUCACUCUGGGUCAGUCAUUGGUCACUCUGGGUCACUCUGGGUCAGUUAUUGGUCACUCUGGGUCAGUCAUUGGUCACUCUGGGUCACUCUGGGUCAUUUAUUGGUCACUCCAGGGCUCUCUGGGUCACUUACUGGUCACUCAUGGGUCACUUUUUGGUCACUUCUGGGUCAGUUUUGGGUCAUUUGUAGAUGAAUUCUGGGUCAAAUUUGCGUCGUUUUCAGGUCAGUUUUGAGUCACUUUUGGGUCAAUUUCAGGUCAUUUUGGGUCAGUUUGGUGUAAAUUUUGGAUCAGUUUGAGGUUCAGUUUGGGAUCAAUUUUGGGUCAUUUCUGUGUAAAUUUUGGGUCGGUUUUUAAGUAACUUUUGACCAAUUUGGGAUUAAUUUUGGGUCAAUUCAUGAUCAAAGUUUGGGUCACAUUUGGGUCAGGUUAGGGCUGGAUUUAGGACCGUUAUGGGGUCAUAUUUUAGUCAAUUUUGUGUCAAUUUCAGCUCAAUUUUAGUGUCACUUUUCAGUCAUUUUGAGCCGAUUUCCCCUCUUUCUCCCCCAUUUUCCCAUCCACCAGGGGGCGCUGCUGGGCACGCAGGUGCUGCUGCUGACGUCAUCGGCGGCGGGGGCGGUGCUGGCUGUGAUUGGCUGCGUGGCGGCCACCAGGGUGCGCCCCAAGGCAACGCCAGUGGUGAGUGACAGGAGGGGCGUGGCCAUGGGGUGAUUAAUGAGGGGGGUGUGGUUUAUAAAGGUGUUGCAUCCUUAUAUGGGCAUUGAGGGGGGAUGUGGGCGUGGCAUACACUGACCACGCCCCCCUGUCCCGCCCCCAGCCCGUGGUGAUCUAUCAGACAGCGAUGCCUGCCCCAGGGGUGGGGCCAGCUGAAGCCACGCCCCCUGCUCAACAAUAAAGACCAAUCACUGCUGAGAGUGCA
rnacentral:lncRNA from 1 species